rnacentral:misc_RNA from 1 species
GAAAUGCGAUAAGUAAUGUGAAUUGCAGAAUUCAGUGAAUCAUCGAAUCUUUGAACGCACAUUGCACCCCCUGGUAUUCCGGGGGGCAUGCCUGUUCGAGCGUCAUUUCACCACUCAAGCCUCGCUUGGUAUUGGGCGACGCGGUCCGCCGCGCGCCUCAAAUCGACCGGCUGGGUCUUUCGUCCCCUCAGCGUUGUGGAAACUAUUCGCUAAAGGGUGCCGCGGGAGGCCACGCCGUAAAACAACCCCAUUUCUAAGGUUGACCUCGGAUCAGGUAGGGAUACCCGCUGAACUUAAGC